rnacentral:rRNA from 1 species
UACGUAGGGUGCAAGCGUUGUCCGGAAUUAUUGGGCGUAAAGAGCUCGUAGGCGGUCUGUCACGUCGGCUGUGAAAACCCGGGGCUCAACCCCGGGCCUGCAGUCGAUACGGGGCAGACUAGAGUGCGGUAGGGGAGACUGGAAUUCCUGGUGUAGCGGUGAAAUGCGCAGAUAUCAGGAGGAACACCCGUAGCGAAGGCGGCACUCUGGGCCGAUACUGACACUGAGGAGCGAAAGCGUGGGGAGCGAACAGG